ACGCUCGACACCUACGAGAGGCAGCAGUCGGGAAUAUUGCGCAAUGGAGGAAACUCUGACGCAGUGACGCCGCGUGCAGGAAGAAGGUUUUCGGAUUGUAAACUGCUUUAGACAGGGAAAGAAAGAAAUGACAGUACCUGUAGAAUAAGCUCCGGCUAACUACGUGCCAACAGCCGCGGUAAUCUGAGCGGGCUGGCAAGGC
rnacentral:rRNA from 1 species